GUAGGUCGCAAGCGUUAUCCGGGAAUUAUUGGGGCGUAAAGCGUUCGUAGGCUGUUUAUUAAGUCUGGGAGUCAAAUCCCAGGGGCUCAACCCUGGGCUCGCUUUGGAUACUGGUAAACUAGAGUUGGAUAGAGGUAAGCGGAAUUCCAUGUGAAGCGGUGAAAUGCGUAGAUAUAUGGAAGAACACCAAAGGCGAAGGCAGCUUACUGGGUCUAUACUGACGCUGAGGGACGAAAGCGUGGGGAGCAAACAGGAUUAGAUACCCUGGUAGUCCACGCCGUAAACGAUGAUCAUUAGUCGGUGGGAGCCACUGACGCAGCUAACGCAUUAAAUGAUCCGCCUGAGUAGUAUGCUCGCAAAGAGUGA
rnacentral:rRNA from 1 species